GACGAACGCUGGCGGCGUGCUUAACACAUGCAAGUCGAGCGGUAAGGCCCUUUCGGGGGUACACGAGCGGCGAACGGGUGAGUAACACGUGGGUGACCUGCCCUCAGCUCUGGGAUAAGCCUGGGAAACCGGGUCUAAUACUGGAUAUGACUCCAUGACGCAUGUUGUGGGGUGGAAAGCCUUGUGCGGCUGAGGAUGGGCCCGCGGCCUAUCAGCUUGUUGGGUGGGGUGANCGGCCUACCAAGGCGACGACGGGUAGCCGGCCUGAGAGGGCGACCGGCCACACGUGGGACUGAGACACGGCCCAGACUCCUACGGGAGGCAGCAGGUGGGGAAUAUUGGACAAGUGGGCGCAAGCCUGAUCCAGCCAUGCCGCGU
rnacentral:rRNA from 1 species